AUAAUAAAAAGAUAAGCUAAAUAAAGCUUUUAGGUUCAUACCCUAAAUAUAGAAGCAGACCUUCUUCUUUUUA
rnacentral:tRNA from 1 species